rnacentral:misc_RNA from 1 species
CCUAGACGCCGGCCCUCGCGGCCGUGACUGGCGCCCGCGGCCCCUCGGGGUCGCGGCCGACGGUUAACCCUCUGUGAAAACCCUCGUUGCUUCGGCAGCACCCCCACCGUGGCCUCGUGCCUCGACGGGGCGUCAGCCUGCCGACGGCACCCUCGGAAACUCAUUUUGAAAUCAAGCACCCAGUCUGAAAAACCAGUCAAAUGACAUUA